CCAGACACUACGCCCGGCUAAUUUUUUGUAUUUUCAAUAGAGAUGGGGUUUCACCGUGUUAGUCAAGAUGGUCUCUAUCUCCUGACCUCAUGAUCCGCCCACCUCGGCCUCCCAAAGUGCUGGGAUUACAGGCGUGAGCCACCGCGCCCGGCCGCCAUUUAUUCUUAGGUAUUCUGUUAUUUGCAGCCGAAGCAUUUUAACUGUUAAAUAAAAUAAUUUGCUGUGGAAGAAGAGACUGCUACUUGCCGACUUCCUAUAAAGAACAUACAGUCUUCAGUAAGAAAGAAAAAAAUUUUGGCCAGGCGUGUUGGCUCACGCCUGUAAUCCCAGCACUUUGGGAGGCCGAGGCAGGCAGAUUACGGUGUCAGGAGCUCAAGAUCAGCCUGGUCAUCAUGGUAAAACCCCGUCUCUACUAAAUAUACAAAAAUUAGCCAGGUGUGGUGGCGCAUGCCUGUAAUCCUA
rnacentral:lncRNA from 1 species